AGAUAGCAGACCCUACAUUAGCUGAAAUGGGAAAAAACUUGAAGGAGGCGAUGAAGAUGCUGGAGGACAGUCAGAGAAGAACAGAGGAGGAAAAUGGAAAGAAGGUCGUAUCAGGGGAUAUUCCAGGGCCACUCCAGGGCAGCGGCCAAGAUAUGGUGAGCAUUCUCCAGUUAGUUCAGAACCUCAUGCACGGAGAUGAAGAUGAGGAGCCCCAGAGCACCCGGUAAUGGAAAA